GGAGAGGUAGCCAAGUGGACGAAGGCGCUCGCCUGGAGAGCGAGUAGGCGCCACAAGCGCCUCGUGGGUUCGAAUCCCACCCUCUCCGCCA
rnacentral:tRNA from 1 species